AACAGAAGAGCUCGAAGUUACAAGGGUCAUAGUCUGUGGUGAAGUUGGAUUCCCAUGCUUGAGGAUAUUUAUUUUUGAUAGUCAGUGUGCUGUGAUGAAUUUGACCUUUGCGGCUGGAGCCAUGCCCUUGGUAGAUGACCUCUUGAUAGUAUUUAACGCAGAAGAAACUGGGUCUCCCGGUACCAGCGGUGAUUUUGAUCUCGGAAUAGAAAAUCUCCUCAGCCUCGUUAAAAUCAGAUGUGUAGUAUGGGGAGACGAGGACGACAGAGUUGAGGCUGCAGAAGCUGCCAUUCGGGAAGCAGCCAACGCACAUCCCAACCGCCCUACUCUACGCUUGGACUGAUAAUGCGUUGCCGGAAUCAAGGGUGCAACGCCAAAGGUUCAUCAUCACUGCAUUUCUAAGAUCGAAACAUUCAUCAUUCUCUGCGAGGAUGGAUCUGCCUCCCUGCACCCUGCUGGGCCGAGCAGAAGAUGUCGUCGAUGUUGUCGUGUCGUGGGAGAACGACACCAAGCACAAGGCGGCCCUUGACGUGAAGCUCAGAACACAAGAGGUCUGGACUCCGAGUCUCGACCUUGCCUAGUUGCCUUCCUGGCGGACCCUUUAGUUGCAAAGUUCAGAUUCAGAGUAUGACGUCAGGAUAUGCUCAUGCUCACCUCUUGCGUGACAGAAUCAUGGUAAAAUAUUGGAAGCUGUACACAUAAUAAACAUGAAAACAAGCACAUGUAACUUGUUAUAUACUCCUACUAACUAACUCUGUGUACUGAUUGUUAGAGUUAAGCACGAAUCCAAGAUUGCACGGCACAUGCAUGUGUGCCCUAGUUUGGUUAGUAUUGCAAACCGAGUAGGAUUAGCAGUACUACACGGAGUAGGAUUAGCAGUAGGCUAUGCUUAGCAUAUAUAUAUGCGUCUACCCCCAGCCCUUGUAACACCGAUCAGUUGAAAGCAAUAAGGAAAACCAAGGCACGUCAAGAGCCUUUGGCAGUACACCGAUUCGUUUGUGUUCGCUGAGUUCCGCUGAGUUGCUCCGUCGUAAUCGAUUCGAUCCGAUCGACUAGAGCUAGCUAGCAAGCCUGGUUCACGUAGCGGUUACACGGGCAACGUAUUGCUCCUGUGAAUCAAUUAACCUGCUUGCCUGCUUGCUUCGAGCCAGCUUUACACACGUACCUGUAUUACCUUCGGUCGCGAUUUGAUCUACAGUUCAAAAGCCAACACUGAUCUUUGUCCAGAUUGCAGGAUAAAACGGAGAAAAUUGCAGAGUGGGCAAAUAAGACGUGGUGGAAGGAGCCAGGUUCCGGGAGAGGUGAGGGCUGCCGCGGAGGAAAGCCGGCGGGAGGAGAUUACCAGGUUCUGGGAGACAGCUGCGAGGCACAGGUCCAAAGAGACCAUGCCCACGGAAAAAAUUGGUCGGCUACUUCGGCUGAACAGCCAACACGCACAUAGAUUAUGGCCUGAAUAAUCACGGUGAUUUUGAGGACUUGCUCUAGCUAGAAGAUGUGCAUGCUCUUGAUUUAUUGGUUUUCAACAUUGGUCAUAGGCUUCGAUGAUGUAUGUAUUAUAUUUGGGAGAGUGAAUUCAUAUUUCUACCACUA